rnacentral:rRNA from 1 species
UUCUGAAACCCUUAGGUAGUAAAAUAAAACCAUCAUACGAUGGCGGUCUUAGCUUUUCAGAGAAACUCGCUUUAUAAUCGAAAUUACCCGUUAAUUUUCACUAACUUUAAAAACCUAUAUACCGCCGUACUAAAACAGUUAAUAUUCUAGUUUAAUAUCCUUAACAAAUAUAAAAUCAGGUCAAGGUGUAGUCCAUAAGCUAGAAAAAGUAAGUUACAAUAAUACACUAUUUAAGGAUGGAAAAUAAAAAUAUAGCUGAAAGAGAAUCUGUGAGUAUAUAUGAAUUAAAAUUUCAUAUUGAAUUAUAACGCAAAGAUGC